rnacentral:rRNA from 1 species
CCGUCUGGUACUGCGGAGGGACAU